rnacentral:rRNA from 1 species
AGAGUUUGAUCAUGGCUCAGAAUCAACGCUGGCGGCGCGCUUAACACAUGCAAGUCGAACGAGAAAGUGGAGCAAUCCAUGAGUACAGUGGCGUACGGGUGAGUAACACGUGGGUAAUCUACCUUUUAGUGAGGAAUAACCAAGGGAAACUUUGGCUAAUACCGCAUAAGCCUGAGAAGGGAAAGCAGAAAUGCGCUGAAAGAGGAGCCCGCGGCCGAUUAGCUAGUUGGUGAGGUAAAAGCCCACCAAGGCAGAGAUCGGUAGCCGGCCUGAGAGGGCACACGGCCACACUGGCACUGAAACACGGGCCAGACUCCUACGGGAGGCAGCAGUGGGGAAUCUUGCACAAUGGGGGAAACCCUGAUGCAGCGACGCCGCGUGAGCGAUGAAGCCCUUCGGGGUGUAAAGCUCUUUCGUCAGGGAAGAUAGUGACGGUACCUGGAGAAGCAGCUGCGGCUAACUACGUGCCAGCAGCCGCGGUAAUACGUAGGCAGCAAGCGUUGUUCGGAGUUACUGGGCGUAAAGGGUGUGUAGGCGGUUCUUUAAGUUUGUCGUGAAAUCUCCCGGCUUAACCGGGAGGGUGCGGCGAAUACUGAGGGACUAGAGUACGGGAGAGGAAAGCGGAAUUCCUGGUGUAGCGGUGAAAUGCGUAGAUAUCAGGAGGAACACCGGUGGUGUAGACGGCUUUCUGGACCGUAACUGACGCUGAGACACGAAAGCGUGGGUAGCAAACAGGAUUAGAUACCCUGGUAGUCCACGCCCUAAACGAUGCAUAUUUGGUGUGGGCAGUUCAUUCUGUCCGUGCCGGAGCUAACGCGUUAAAUAUGCCGCCUGGGGAGUACAGUCGCAAGGCUGAAACUCAAAGGAAUUGACGGGGG